rnacentral:sRNA from 1 species
GCUUCGCUCCAUUUGAAGCGGAAAUCCUUUUUGCGUGUCAGGAUUUGUGUUCCGGACAAAAAGAUUGUAGCGUAAAGCCCGACCGCAG